rnacentral:lncRNA from 1 species
UUUGUGGUCUCGCUGGCUUCAGGAGUGAAGCUGCAGACCUUCAAGAAACUCCUGGAGGGCAGAGGCAUGCCUGCCAUCUUCAUCAUUGCAUUACCACCACCCAACACUAUCGGGGGACCUGCCCUGAUAAUCAGUUCCUCCCACUGAAGAAUCGGAGUAUAUUUCUCCAGCCCCUAAUGUUGGGUUUAGUCAUGUGUCUAG